rnacentral:miRNA from 1 species
GUAUUAGGCUGGUGCUAAAGUGACUGCGGUUUUUGCCCUUACUUUUAAUUGCAAAAACUGCCAUUACUUUUGCACCAACCUUAAUAAAU